rnacentral:rRNA from 1 species
UACACUCCUGCGGGAGGCAGCAGUGGGGAAUAUUGCACAAUGGGCGCAAGCCUGAUGCAGCCAUGCCGCGUGUAUGAAGAAGGCCUUCGGGUUGUAAAGUACUUUCAGCGGGGAGGAAGGCGAUAAGGUUAAUAACCUUGUUGAUUGACGUUACCCGCAGAAGAAGCACCGGCUAACUCCGUGCCAGCAGCCGCGGUAAUACGGAGGGUGCAAGCGUUAAUCGGAAUUACUGGGCGUAAAGCGCACGCAGGCGGUCUGUCAAGUCGGAUGUGAAAUCCCCGGGCUCAACCUGGGAACUGCAUUCGAAACUGGCAGGCUAGAGUCUUGUAGAGGGGGGUAGAAUUCCAGGUGUAGCGGUGAAAUGCGUAGAGAUCUGGAGGAAUACCGGUGGCGAAGGCGGCCCCCUGGACAAAGACUGACGCUCAGGUGCGAAAGCGUGGGGAGCAAACAGGAUUAGAAACCCUAGUAGUCCCAUGA